rnacentral:lncRNA from 1 species
AGCAGAAGGCCCAUUUAUUUGAAUGCAUGCAUGAAUCGCUUUUUUUAUUAAAGCUCUGGCCACUCACGAGUUCCGACCGGAUUCUGUGCAGGAACCGACGGCGGCUGCAGCGGCGACUGAGACUCUCAGCACAGCUGAAUGUACAUGGAGACCCCCAGCUGGGCAGACACAAAACCAGGAAACGGGCUGUGCAAAUCUGGGACCAUUGCUCUUUUCGGAAACGUCGUGUACAGCGGGUUGCUGAACGACCAUUUUUGGCAUCUCGGGGUGCCCCUCGUCACAAGACUGGGUAACCAGGAGGCCCCAGCUCCCCCAGAAGCCAUGGCACAGCCCUACGCCCCGGCGCAGUACCCGCCUCCGCCCCCGCAGAACGGCAUCCCCGGCGAGUACGCCCACCCGGCACAGGACUACAGCGGGCCCAGCACGGUGCCCGAGCACGCCGCCCUCACCAUCUACACGGCCACACAGACGCACAGCGAGCCCCCGGGCCCCGACAGCAGCGGGCCCUCGCUCACGGGCACCAGCACCGUACCGGCAGACGAGGUGGUGCAGACGGAGGGCAGCCAGCAGCUACAGCUACAGCCCUCAGACUCUUCAGAGAAGCAGCAGCCCAAGCGGUUACACGUCUCCAACAUUCCCUUCCGCUUCCGGGACCCCGACCUGCGGCAAAUGUUUGGGCAAUUUGGCAAAAUUUUAGAUGUGGAAAUUAUUUUUAACGAGCGGGGCUCAAAGGGCUUCGGUUUCGUAACCUUUGAAACAAGCGCGGACGCGGACCGCGCACGGGAGAAACUGAACGGCACCAUCGUAGAGGGACGAAAAAUCGAGGUGAACAAUGCAACGGCGCGAGUAAUGACGAACAAAAAAGUGGCCAACCCUUACACAAACGGCUGGAAGCUGAAUCCGGUGGUGGGAGCCGUCUACGGUCCGGAAUUCUAUGCAGUGACAGGAUUCCCCUACCCGACCACAGGGGCUGCCGUGGCGUACAGGGGAGCUCACUUGAGAGGGCGGGGCCGGGCCGUGUACAACACGUUCCGUGCGGCUCCGCCUCCCCCUCCCAUCCCGGCCUAUGGAGCUGUGGUGUACCAGGACGGCUUCUACGGCGCAGAAAUUUACGGAGGCUAUGCAGCAUACAGAUAUGCCCAGCCGGCUGCGGCGGCCGCAGCAGCCUACAGUGACAGUAAAUGAGAAAAAGAGUGGAUGGCUGUGUAAAGAGAUGGACAACAGCGCAAAAGAUGGUGACGAAGAAGGAGAGUGAGCAGCUUAAAAAAAAACAACACCACAUUCAAAGAUUUCAAAAAAGAAAAAUAUAUAAACAUGGCAGAAUUUCAAAGGUAUCUUUCCAUUGCGGCUGUCGGGCAUGAUGUUGCCAUGGCGACGGGUCAACCCACGCAGCCACCCCAAGAGUAUGGAAGGACGGCAACUUUCACCUGGGACAGCCUCAUGAUGAUGGAAGAGAGGAGGAGGAAGAGGAGGGAGGAAAUCACACACUCACAAAAAAAAAAACUUUUUAUUUUUCUAAACUUUUUUAAGUUUAUGGUUUGAAAAAGAGUUUGGAUGGGUGUAUAUAUCUAUAUAAAUAUCAAUAUAUGUAUGUAUGAGUAUAUUAUAAGAAAAGUUGUUGGUAAAAUGAAAAAAAAAAUGGCGAGAAGAUGAUAUGAAUGCAUCAGAGCACUGCUGUCGUUUCAGGGAACCGGGGGUGUUGAUUUCACCUUUCAACCCUCCGUUCCCCCAAAUACUCCACCCUCCUUGUUUUUCCCGUUGACCCCAACAGGAUGAACAAGGAGUCCACCAGAACCAAGCUGUUGUCCUAGCAGACAUGAUUCUCACAUCCCGCUUCCGCUUCUUCUUCUUCCAAAUGUCCAAGGCCUAUUUGGGCCCAGCGUCUUCCACUUCCUGUUGAACAGAACUACUUCCUGUGUUAGAGAGCUGAGGGCCUUAAUGUCAUUGAUGUCAAGCUCAGUUAUGUACUUGGAAGACGAGAGUAUCCCAACAAAACGGUUAAAUAACACUUCCCGUGUAGUGUAAUUCAGUGCAAGGCGGACUGCACGUUAGAACAGGAAAAGGGGGUCCGACAGGUUAAGAUCCAGGAUCCACGUACCACCGAAGACUAGACCAUACGAGAGCGUAAGGUACUUUCUUCAGGUUACUCACCGAAUCCCUGACACUCGCUCUGUCGCUUAGCACAGGCAGUCGAACCACAGUUGGACACGAGGUUCCUUCGAGCCCCAUGGGCCCUCGCGGUUCCUGCAGCACAAUGACUCAACGACCCUCAACGAACGGGGGGAGGGGUGGGCAAUGGGAAAGGAAAUCCAGGCUUUUGAGGAGUGAGGGGAAAGGGCUCCAAAGAGUCGCGUCUCGAAAUCAACGAAAAACAAAAAAAAUCAUAAUAAUUUUUAAAAAUUGAAAAAAAAAAAAAAAUUUACAGUGCUACCAAAACCCAUUCCAUUUCGGUGUUGUUGUAGAGGUGGCUGUGUUGUGUAGUAAAAAAAAAAACACUUUUGUACAUGGUGCCAAGGGGCUACAAACGAAGACAAUUGCAGCUGUCGGGAUUGUCGCAGGACUUGCGCCGUCCAUCUCGAGAAAAAAAAAAAAAAAAAAAAAAAGGGCACCGAUUUUAUUAGCGUGUGUCGCCUUUCUACGUCUUAACAAACUCCACUUUAGUGACAUCCUUAUAUAUUUAAAUGUUGUACUGGUCACAUGCCGCAGUGCAUGGUAAAUGAGUCGAUUGUAGCCAUUUACUAACGUUGUAUUAUUGUAUUACUAGUAUGAGAAACAUUUAUAUAUGAAAUAUCUAUUUGUGAUUUGCGACCCUUCGAAAUUCCAGGCGAUAUUUUUUUCGUCAUUUUCAGCCGAGAUUUACGCACUGUCCGUACAUGGAAAGUUUUUUUUGUUUUUUUUUGUUCCUGUCUCCUUGGUUCACCUCUUGAAUGUAUUGCUGCUCUAAAACUGUAAGAAAAAAAUGUCCUGGUCUUUAAAGCAGUGCUUUGUGUAUGUGUGUACUGUACCUUUUUUUUUUUACCAUAUUUGUAUAAUUUGCCCCGCCCCAGUGGAGCAAAAGACCAAACGUAUGAAGAAUCCAGGUUGUCCGCUCAUCCAUAGUCUUCAACCAUGGGAAGCUGCCCAAGAACAGAAGACAGAGUUACGAAGAAUCACUUUUGGAUCAAUCGGCUUUCAUUUGAGGGAGAAGACGCGACGACGGGAAGGGAGUCCCGUUCCUUUUUCAAAUCUUUAUUUUGUCUCUCUGAUCAUGGGGGAGCCGACGACUGAGAUGCCACUGAACUGCCUCGAGCCGGUCGAGCUCGUACCAUCGGGAUUGUUUCAGCGAGUGCACAGCAUCGGCCCACCACUGCAGAUAACGUCCCCAAGAUGUCACGCUACGAAGAAAAAAAACAAAAAAAACACUUAAAUCGAGAGCUUCCGUGGGUUCAGGUGACGAACGCCCCUGCAGCCACCUCUCCUUAGGUCAGAGACGUAACUACUUCGUGCUGCUUUGUUCCUUUCCUCAGAACUCGGUUUUCUUUUCUAGAAAAAUGGCGACUUAGCGACUGUACACCUUUGAUACCGGACGGCGUCCGCUCCCAAGACCGCCACCGCCGGACUACGUGUUUUUCAGCCCCGUCGCGUGCCAGCGGUGGUGGCCGGGAGUGCUCCUGGUGACUCUCAGACAUUUCAGGGACUCUGCACUGAAAGAGACUGUGGACUAACCAACAAACUAACAAAAAGAUGUCAAAUCACAGAGAUCCACGAUCCUCUGUCAGGUUCCGUUUGAUUACUUUACGUACUCGUUCAUUUCUUGGUCAUUGUCAUACGAAAGUGUCCUCUUUGGUGUGUUUUGAUCUUACACGUUCCUCUAUGUUUUAGUCCAGAGUCCCGGUUUCCCCUUUGCAAUGAGGCUAAAUCCAAUAACGCCUCAUAGCACCCCCCUCGACGCAAGCCUUGCUAAUCCCUGGUCACUAAUCCUAAACCCGCGCGAACCUUCACUUAUCCGGUUUCACCCGAGCUCCGCCCGCCCUUCAGCCCCACCCGAGGCUUCUCCGCCACCUCCCCAAAGCACAAAGGUUGAAACGGCGCCUGAGCGGGCGGCCUUCGCCGAGGGCCGAUGUCCCCCCCCCCACCUCAGCGCGCGAGACUUGUCCCGCCGCUCCUGCCCCGCCCAGCCUUUUCUAUAUUAAAUGUACAGUAUCUUCUUUCUCCGUCGGCUCAGUACAAAACCUAUACGACAUUCAGACGAAACUUCUUCAUGUGCUACACUGACUCUGUGUAACGAAAGAGAGAGAAAAAAAAAAGACAAUUUGUUUAAUUUCAGCAAUUUGUUUAUCUAUAUAUUUUUUUGCAAUUGUUUCAAAUACAUAUAGGUUAAAAUAUAUCUAUAUAUAAAGAUAUUAAAAAUGAAAAAAAGCUAACAUUUCUGCUCUUUGGGAUCUGUACUCUUAACUUUGCAUUUCUUUUUAUCCUCUCCCUUUCUGUAUGCUUCCAAUGUGCUUCAGAGAAACAAUACUAUUUAUUAUGAUUAUUAUAUCAUUAAAUUAUUAUUACUAUGAUUAUUAUUGCCGUCAUAAUUAAUAUGAUUAUUAAUAAACAUUUCAUUCUUCAAUAAUAAAACGG